CCUACGGGAGACAGCAGUGAGGAAUAUUGGUCAAUGGGCGCGAGCCUGAACCAGCCAAGUAGCGUGAAGGAUGACUGCCCUACGGGUUGUAAACUUCUUUUCUAAAGGAAUAAAGUGAGGCACGUGUUCCUUUUUGUAUGUACUUUAUGAAUAAGGCACGGCUAACACCGUGCCAGCAGCCGCGGUAAAACGGAGGAUCCGAGCGUUAUCCGGAUUUAGUGGGUUUAAAGGGAGCGUAGAUGGGUUGUUAAGUCAGUUGUGAAAGUUUGCGGCUCAACCGUCAAAUUGCAAUUGAUACUGGCAGCCUUGAGUACAGUUGAGGUAGGCGGAAUUCGUGGUGUAGCGGUGAAAUGCUUAGAUAUCACGAAGAACUCCGAUUGCGAAGGCAGCUUACUAAACUGCCACUGACAUUGAUGCUCGAAAGUGUGGGUAUCAAACAGGAUUAGAUACCCCAGUAGUC
rnacentral:rRNA from 1 species